CCUACGGGAGGCAGCAGUGAGGAAUAUUGGACAAUGGGCGCAAGCCUGAUCCAGCCAUGCCGCGUGCAGGAUGACGGUCCUAUGGAUUGUAAACUGCUUUUGCACAGGAAGAAACAACGCUACGUGUAGCGUCUUGACGUACUGUGAGAAUAAGGAUCGGCUAAUCCGUGC
rnacentral:rRNA from 1 species